rnacentral:rRNA from 1 species
CAGCAGCCGCGGUAACACCAGCACCUCGAGUGGUCAGGAGGUUUAUUGGGCCUAAAGCAUCCGUAGCCGGUUGCAUAAGUUUUCGGUUAAAUCUAUGCGCUUAACGUAUAGGCCGCCGAAAAUACUGUGCAGCUAGGGAGUGGGAGAGGUACACGGUACUCGAUAGGAAGGGGUAAAAUCCUUUGAUCUAUUGAUGACCACCUGUGGCGAAGGCGGUGUACCAGAACACGUUCGACGGUGAGGGAUGAAAGCUGGGGGAGCAAACCGGAUUAGAUACCCGCGUAGUCCCUGUCUCUUAUAC